rnacentral:rRNA from 1 species
GACGAACGCUGGCGGCGUGCUUAACACAUGCAAGUCGAACGGAAAGGCCCUGCUUUUGUGGGGUGCUCGAGUGGCGAACGGGUGAGUAACACGUGAGUAACCUGCCCUUGACUUUGGGAUAACUUCAGGAAACUGGGGCUAAUACCGGAUAGGAGCUCCUGCUGCAUGAUGGGGGUUGGAAAGUUUCGGCGGUUGGGGAUGGACUCGCGGCUUAUCAGCCUGUUGGUGGGGUAGUGGCUUACCAAGGCUUUGACGGGUAGCCGGCCUGAGAGGGUGACCGGCCACAUUGGGACUGAGAUACGGCCCAGACUCCUACGGGAGGCAGCAGUGGGGAAUAUUGCACAAUGGGCGGAAGCCUGAUGCAGCAACGCCGCGUGCGGGAUGACGGCCUUCGGGUUGUAAACCGCUUUCGCCUGUGACGAAGCGUGAGUGACGGUAAUGGGUAAAGAAGCACCGGCUAACUACGUG